UGCCACAGUUAGGGGGGCCAGAGGGGGGGUCGAGGCUUAAUAUAACGGGGGGACCCUUGCCCCCCCCUCUAGAACCGCCACUGCUCUUGUUUCCUGUUUAAAGUUUACUUUCACUUUCCAGAUUUAGUGUCGCAGCUUUUUCUCUCCGUGUGAAGCUCCAGCUGAAGCUGUGGUUAGUUUAGUUUAAGAGCAGAAAGCUGCAGAGAAACCAACACAACUGGACUUGGGAUGAAUUAAAACUGGAGUCUUAUUCACAAAGAUCCACCGCCAUGUUGUGACCCAUCAGAGACCAGACCCUGCUGAACCUGAACCUGAACCUGAACCCAGCUGU